GGUUAAGCGAACAAGCGUACACGGUGGAUGCCCUGGCAGUCAGAGGCGAUGAAGGACGUGCUAAUCUGCGAAAAGCGCCGGUAAGGUGAUAUGAACCGUUAUAACCGGCGAUGUCCGAAUGGGGAAACCCGGUGCACUUCGGUGCAUCAUCGUUAGCUGAAUACAUAGGCUAACGAGGCGAACCGGGGGAACUGAAACAUCUAAGUACCCCGAGGAAAAGAAAUCAACCGAGAUUCCCCCAGUAGCGGCGAGCGAACGGGGAACAGCCCAGAGCCUGAAUCAGCUUGUGUGUCAGUGGAACGGUCUGGAAAGGCCGGCGAUACAGGGUGACAGCCCCGUACACGAAGGCACACAGGCUGUGAGCUCGAUGAGUAGGGCGGGACACGUGAUAUCCUGUCUGAAGAUGGGGGGACCAUCCUCCAAGGCUAAAUACUCCUGACUGACCGAUAGUGAACCAGUACCGUGAGGGAAAGGCGAAAAGAACCCCGGCGAGGGGAGUGAAACAGAACCUGAAACCGUGUACGUACAAGCAGUGGGAGCCUUCGUAAGAGGGUGACUGCGUACCUUUUGUAUAAUGGGUCAGCGACUUAUAUUCUGUAGCAAGGUUAACCGUAUAGGGGAGCCGAAGGGAAACCGAGUCUUAACCGGGCGUUAAGUUGCAGGGUAUAGACCCGAAACCCGGUGAUCUAGCCAUGGGCAGGUUGAAGGUUGGGUAACACUAACUGGAGGACCGAACCGACUAAUGUUGAAAAAUUAGCGGAUGACCUGUGGCUGGGGGUGAAAGGCCAAUCAAACCGGGAGAUAGCUGGUUCUCCCCGAAAGCUAUUUAGGUAGCGCCUCGUGAACUCAUCUCCGGGGGUAGAGCACUGUUUCGGCUAGGGGGCCAUCCCGGCUUACCAACCCGAUGCAAACUGCGAAUACCGGAGAAUGUUAUCACGGGAGACACACGGCGGGUGCUAACGUCCGUCGUGAAGAGGGAAACAACCCAGACCGCCAGCUAAGGUCCCAAAGUCAUGGUUAAGUGGGAAACGAUGUGGGAAGGCCCAGACAGCCAGGAUGUUGGCUUAGAAGCAGCCAUCAUUUAAAGAAAGCGUAAUAGCUCACUGGUCGAGUCGGCCUGCGCGGAAGAUGUAACGGGGCUAAACCAUGCACCGAAGCUGCGGCAGCGACACGUAUGUGUUGUUGGGUAGGGGAGCGUUCUGUAAGCCUGUGAAGGUGUGCUGUGAGGCAUGCUGGAGGUAUCAGAAGUGCGAAUGCUGACAUAAGUAACGAUAAAGCGGGUGAAAAGCCCGCUCGCCGGAAGACCAAGGGUUCCUGUCCAACGUUAAUCGGGGCAGGGUGAGUCGACCCCUAAGGCGAGGCCGAAAGGCGUAGUCGAUGGGAAACAGGUUAAUAUUCCUGUACUUGGUGUUACUGCGAAGGGGGGACGGAGAAGGCUAUGUCGGCCGGGCGACGGUUGUCCCGGUUUAAGCGUGUAGGCUGACUUUCCAGGCAAAUCCGGAAGGUUAAGGCUGAGGCGUGAUGACGAGGCACCACGGUGCUGAAGUGACAAAUGCCCUGCUUCCAGGAAAAGCCUCUAAGCAUCAGGUAACAUCAAAUCGUACCCCAAACCGACACAGGUGGUCAGGUAGAGAAUACCAAGGCGCUUGAGAGAACUCGGGUGAAGGAACUAGGCAAAAUGGUGCCGUAACUUCGGGAGAAGGCACGCUGACAUGUAGGUGAAGCCCCUGCGGGUGGAGCUGAAGUCAGUCGAAGAUACCAGCUGGCUGCAACUGUUUAUUAAAAACACAGCACUGUGCAAACACGAAAGUGGACGUAUACGGUGUGACGCCUGCCCGGUGCCGGAAGGUUAAUUGAUGGGGUUAUCGCAAGAGAAGCUCCUGAUCGAAGCCCCGGUAAACGGCGGCCGUAACUAUAACGGUCCUAAGGUAGCGAAAUUCCUUGUCGGGUAAGUUCCGACCUGCACGAAUGGCGUAAUGAUGGCCAGGCUGUCUCCACCCGAGACUCAGUGAAAUUGAACUCGCUGUGAAGAUGCAGUGUACCCGCGGCAAGACGGAAAGACCCCGUGAACCUUUACUACAGCUUGACACUGAACAUUGAGCCUUGAUGUGUAGGAUAGGUGGGAGGCUUUGAAGCGUGGACGCCAGUCUGCGUGGAGCCGACCUUGAAAUACCACCCUUUAAUGUUUGAUGUUCUAACCUGGCGCCGUGAUCCGGCGUGGGGACAGUGUCUGGUGGGUAGUUUGACUGGGGCGGUCUCCUCCCAAAGUGUAACGGAGGAGCACGAAGGUCAGCUAAUCCUGGUCGGACAUCAGGAGGUUAGUGCAAUGGCAUAAGCUGGCUUGACUGCGAGAGUGACGGCUCGAGCAGGUGCGAAAGCAGGUCAUAGUGAUCCGGUGGUUCUGUAUGGAAGGGCCAUCGCUCAACGGAUAAAAGGUACUCCGGGGAUAACAGGCUGAUACCGCCCAAGAGUUCAUAUCGACGGCGGUGUUUGGCACCUCGAUGUCGGCUCAUCACAUCCUGGGGCUGAAGUAGGUCCCAAGGGUAUGGCUGUUCGCCAUUUAAAGUGGUACGCGAGCUGGGUUUAGAACGUCGUGAGACAGUUCGGUCCCUAUCUGCCGUGGGCGCUGGAGAAUUGAGGGGGGCUGCUCCCAGUACGAGAGGACCGGAGUGGACGCAUCACUGGUGUUCGGGUUGUCAUGCCAAUGGCACUGCCCGGUAGCUAAAUGCGGAAGAGAUAAGUGCUGAAAGCAUCUAAGCACGAAACUUGCCCCGAGAUGAGUUCUCCCUGAGACUGUAAGUCUCCUGAAGGAACGUUGAAGACGACGACGUUGAUAGGCCGGGUGUGUAAGCGCAGCGAUGCGUUGAGCUAACCGGUACUAAUGAACCGUGAGGCUUAACCUU
rnacentral:rRNA from 2 species